GACAUUUCAGUUCACAGAAACUGAAACUUUGGUGCUGGAAUAUAGAACAUUUUCCGAGUCUCAAAUGCAAUAUGUUUGGAAAACACUUUUCCACUCAGCCCUGGUAAAACCUCCAAGGAAGGGGGUGAAGACACAGGCUCCCUGCCAGAGAACAUGAGCUUUGCUAGACCAGCAUCUCCAUAUUCUUUCUCUUAGAAAAUGCUUUUUCCUCCGCUCCAAACAGUGGAGGGCUGGAGGGAAGAGCAGGAGACAGUGACACUGUCCCAUGCUGGCUGGAAACCCUGUGGUGCCUCUGGGGCACAGAAGGUCUGAAUUUAAAUCUCCCUCUGGUUUGGAUCUGCUUCAAACAAAUACCUGAAAGCACUGCCCUCCCCAGGGCCUCUCUGCCCAGAUCUUGCAGGCAGACUCAGAAGAAUUUGACUUUAUCAGUGAUUUAUGCCUUGGAAUGGAGACUGAGAGCAGCUCCAGGGAUGCCUGAAAGAUCAACCUCUUAUCUCAGGGGCUGAGUUCAAGGUGUCCCAGGAUGGAAACCUACUUGUUCCAGAGCUGCUCCUGGACAUCUCCUGCUGGGCCACCAAACAUCCCAUUGCUCUGCUUUCCCUUGCCAGGAGGUGUUCCCUGGCAGAAAGGGAAUUCCCUGGCAGAAAGGGAAUUCCCUGGCAGGAGGAUUAUUGGGCUGGGAAAGGCACAAUAAUCCAGCUGAUGUGGCACGGCAACAGAUACCAUGAUCCAAACCAGGCUGUUGGGCCAAGAUAAAAGGUACCUGCUUCUAAUUCCUUUGCUGACAACAUGGCUGGGCUCAUUGUGGUGGAGAAACCAACCCUACACGACGUGGGAAGAAGGCAAAGGAGAAUACCCUGGUUUUCAGGGAGUGGUUUCCACUGUGUUCCAUCCAGACGUGCAACCAUCCCCUACAACUCUCUGCUCUGAUCUCAUCCUGGAGCCGGCUACAGGGGGCUGCCUGUGACACCAAGCAGGGCUGAAAAGGUGUUUCUGCAUUCUGGGUGAUGUUUAGACAUUCACACUUGUAAGAAUAAUAUUAUUUCUCCAAAAAAUCUUUGAGUGUGUUGGAGAUUAGUUUGGGUUUUGUGAUAUGCUAAAAGUUGGAAAGCAAUAAAGACUUUUUAUUGUGUAAAGUCA
rnacentral:lncRNA from 1 species